UAUUUAAUUUUAAUAAUUUAAAUACUUUUAAGAAAUACACUAAACACUUGAAUUUAACUUGUUAUUUGUAGUUUUAUGAAAUGUCACUUGUAUUCCAUUUAAUUUCUUUGAUUAACGUUAAAUUAACCUCUGAACAUUGUCUCUUGAUACUAUUUUACAAUUAAUUUUUAUCAUAUUUUAAUUUGUUAUUAUAUUGUAACUUUAUAACUUUAAGAAUUGUUCCCCAACAUGAGCUUUGCUUAUAGGGGGUGUU